AUUGAACGCUGGCGGCAGGCCUAACACAUGCAAGUCGAACGAGUGGCGGACGGGUGAGUAAUGUCUGGGAAACUGCCCGAUGGAGGGGGAUACCUACUGGAACCGGUAGCUAAUACCGCAUACCAUCGGAUGUGCCCAGAGGGGAUUAGCUAGUAGGUGGGGUAACGGCUCACCUAGGCGACGAUCCCUAGCUGGUCUGAGAGGAUGACCAGCCACACGGGAACUGGGCCACGGUCCAGACUCUUACGUGAGGCAGCAGGGGGGAAUAUUGGCCAAUGGGCGCAAGCCUGAUGCAGCCAUGCCGCGUGGGGGAAGAGGGUCUUCGGGUUGUAAAGCACUUUCAGCGGGGAGGCGUUACCCGCAGAAGAAGCACCGGCUAACUCCGUGCCAGCCGCCGCGGUAAUAC
rnacentral:rRNA from 1 species